UGGUCAGGUAGGGUGGAGGGUCUCGCCAGCCCUUAUACCCACAUGGCGCAACGUGGGCACCAGUAACUCCUAUGCUAUAAUACCUGCUCUUCGAGAUCCCAGUCUAACUAUGAUCAUCGCCCGACGGGGCGAGAUAGUCGUGGGUUCCCUUUCUGGAGGGAGAGGGAAUUCCACGUUGACCGGGGGAACCGGCCAGGCCCGGAAGGGAGCAACCGUGCCCGGCUAUCCGCGUUCGUCGGUCUCCGAUAGGAGGAAGACUGGGGGUAAAUCUCGGGGAGUAAGGGUUAUGGCAUAGGGGAGCUGACCA
rnacentral:SRP_RNA from 19 species